AUUAUUACUGUGAAGCCCAGAACAGAAGAGGACGUCAUAACUCCACCUUACAUCUGACUGUUGUGGCAGGUUCAAUGAAAUCAGCAGCUGCUGGAUCAAUCACUGCCAUUAUUCUGGCUCUCAUAUUGCUCUGUGGCUUCCUAUUAAUUAGUAGAAAGAUGUCCUCAAAACAAACCACAGAGCCUGGAGAGAGACCAGACAACACAGCACAGCUAAACAUGGGUUCAGUGUGCAACAAUUCUUCAGCUGAAGUACAGAGUAAACCAGCAUUGGAGAUGGACGACCUUUGCUACGCCAGCGUAAGCUUCUCUGAAAAGCAGGAGGAUGCUCUCUACUCCAACAUCAGGCCAGCUCAGCGCAACAGACGCAAGAAAGAAGAUGGGGAGGAUGAAGAUGGUGUGGAGUACAGUGCUGUCAACUUUAAUGUGUGAGUGUUUCAGCAGUAGUAAGACGUCAAGAGGCUGGGGAGGAUUCAUCUGCACUGUACAGCACAAUCACCGACAUACCAAGAGUAUGAUCACAACAUGGAUCUGUGGUCCGUUACUUGUGUUACAGUGUUCAAGCAGAAUUCCACAGUGAAGUUAUAAUACAUUACACGGUAGAUUAAAGGCAACUGUCAAAAAUCUAAUGUAUAAACAACAAACAAACUUAGUUUCUCUUACAACCAACAAGUUAUCAAAAAAGUCUGUUCGGGGCAGUGCAAUUAAUCAAACAGCAAAAUUAAAGAAAUCUAUACAUCCAGCAGACAAAAUAAAAGUCUUAAAGUCUUAAAUAAAUUAGUAAUCUGGUAAAUACAACAGUUUAAACUCUAGGAUACAAUACCACAGUUGCUGGUUCUGAUUGGAUGCCUUAAACCUGUUCAACAAUUUAACUCUUGUUCUAAAUCAGUGUUUAAGGUGCCGUAUGUUAAGCUGCUGGUGACAGUAAUUUUAUUAACAGUUAUCUCUCAUUUUAACUAAAUAAAAUUUUUUAAUAGCCUGUAAGGUUUGAGUUGAUAUACUAUAUUAACUUUAUUGUUACAGCAUCCAGCCAAGUACUCGUAUCAGUUGCUAACAGUCUGUAAUUUAUAAUUUCUUAUACAGAAUUUACUUGACAUUUUUUUCCAAGGAGCAAUAUUUUACUGUUGGUGCAAGCAAACUAUUUCCUACAUAUUAUCAAGUACAUAAGGUUAUAUACAGUAUACCUUUAUAACUUUAACAAAGUCUUUCUCUGCUCUACAGUUUAUUCACCUUUUAUUUUUUUUGUCAAAUAUUUCAAAUAUUCUUCUGCUCAUAUUAACAUUUUUAAAUUUCUGGUGCUUACCAUCACAACAAAAUGAGUUAUUGUCAUGGACUGACAUCUCUUUUCUCUGCCACCUCCUCGAAUAACAGAUUUUAUGAAUAUGUGUGGUUGAUCAGCAUACUUGACAACUUCCAGACAUCAUAGACUAAAUCCGUGGACCAAAUCUAGCGGGGUAUCUGGAUUUACUGAGUCAUUUUUUAAUUGAAAUACAAGAGCGUGGUUGCUUUAACACAUUGGGUCUGAGGGUCCCCCACCUGAACAGACUAAAAACUUCAUUUCCUGCAAUUGGUGAAGUCUGCACCAAUUUCUGCCUUUUCAGCAUCACUGUAUGAUGGAAAAGGCUUUCAUUAUGCAAAGGAAACAAAAAUUCAGGCAGCAGGUGACAAUUCAAAAGUUUAAAAUAUAAGGCACACUGUAAUACUUUAUAUUGUCCUACAGAUCAAUGUAAUAUCAUCCCUGCUCAGUCAACAGACAUCUGUACUGUAUCUGGACUGUACUGGAUGAGACAAGGAGGUGGAAACUAACUGAAAACACUUCUGAUCAGGUAUAAGUCCACACAAAUGUUAACUUCAGCACCUCCAAAAAACUGCAGCUCACAGCCAGUUCAGUUGGAAGCAUUAGGAACAUAGUCCUUCUUACCUUCAUGUGUCCAUACCUCCUUAACUGUUGCAUGUUAAGAUUGUAAUUAAAAAAUUAAAUUUUACCACUCUCACAACUCACUGACAGACUCAAACUUCCCGGAUCAAACUCAUUAGCAAAAUGUUUUUAAAGAGGUGGUAUUAUGCUCAUUUUCAGGUUCAAAAUCUUAAUUAGGGGUUGUACCAGAACAGGUUUACAUGGUUUAAUUUUCAAAAAACACCAUA